AUUGGAGUCUGCAACCCGACUCCGUGAAGCUGGAUUCGCUAGUAAUCGCGCAUCAGCCAUGGCGCGGUGAAUACGUUCCCGGGCCUUGUACACACCGCCCGUCAAGCCAUGGGAGCCGGGAGUGCCUGAAGGCCGUGACCGCAAGGAGCGGCCUAAGGUAAAACCGGUGACUGGGGCUAAGUCGUAACAAGGUACC
rnacentral:rRNA from 1 species